rnacentral:lncRNA from 1 species
UUUACAAAGAACACAUCAACUUGAUUUUGUUAAUGUUUCUCCUCUCUCCAAUAAUUCAAAGAGGGCAAGUUGUGUUUUCCAUUUUCCUUUUCAACCACUCUACAUGGUAACUUUCAAAAAUACCAAUUUUGCUUCUUUUAUUUUAUUUGACACUUUCCUUUCAUCAGGUACAAGUAUUAACAAUAAGAAAAGACAUUUCCAAAAAAAACAAUGAGAAAAGACAAAAUAGUUUUUUUUGGUACAUAAAAGACAAAAUACUUUAUUUACUCUUUCCUUUUAUAUUUAAUCAAAAUGUUUUUUGGUUUGUCUACUUUCUAUAUGUGAGAGCCUUGUUUCUUUCUCCUUAUGAGAGUUAGUGAGGAAAAUCAACUAUACCACUUUUAAAUGAGUGUUUAUAAGUGGGUUUCUUGUUAAUCUCACUUGUAUACAUUGCUAUUUACUAACUUUUUAAUGUUAGUUGCUUUCAAUCAUUUUAAUCUAACACCUUUAAAAAGUUUCACUAAUAAUUUUACAUCAUUAAUAUCAAAAAAUAAAAUAAUUAUACAUCAUUGAUUAUUACAUUUUAACAAUAACUUGUAUUAUAGUAAAAAAAAACAAUAACUUGUAUUAUCCUACUUAUUAAUCAACAACUACAAUUUUAACAAUAAGCAAGAUAAUAGCUUAUCUUGUUAAAUAUUUGUCAAAGUUAAAUACUCAAUAUAAUAAUAUUUUGUUUAAAAUCUCAAGUUUAAAAUGAGGAAAUGACUAUUUGGUUUGAUAGAAGGUUUGACACAAAGGGUUUUAAUAAUGAAGAUGAAAACAAGAGCUGUAAUUACAUAAUAAUCAAUUUCUUUUUCAUUUUUCGUUUUUGUUUGUGCAACAAUAUAAUUAAUUUGGUUCAGCGGUCAUUGAUGGUGAACUUAAUUCGGAACAUUACUGUUUGAUGCAUUCGUAACUACGAUCGGAAGAAGGUUGCAACUACUUGAUGUUAUAGCUAACUCCCGAACCAGAUUAAACCAUGCAAAUGCAAUUGAGUGAAGGCUGAAACCACUUAAUGACAGACUGAUUCUCCGAC